GGUGUAGUGAUGAACUGGGUCGAUAUCGGAAGGUAACACCAGUAGCGAUGGCGGCACCGUGGGCUGCUCCUCACGCUAAAGCCGAAAGCUAGGGUAGCGAACGAGAUUAGAAACCCUUUAUAGUCCUAGCAGUAAUCGACGCAUACUAGGUGUGGGAGGUUAAAUUUCAUUCUGUUCCGGAGGUAACAGCGUUAAGUAUCCCGCCUGGGGAGUACGGUCGCAAGGCUAAAACUCAAAGGAAUUGACGGGUGCCCGCACAAGCAGUGGAGCGUGUGGUUUAAUUUGAUGCAACGAGAAGAUCCUUACCAGGGCUUGACAUGUAGGUAGUAGUGAAGGGAAAGCGGAACGAUCCUUCGGGAAGCUUACACAGGUGGUGCAUGGCUGUCCUCAGCUCGUGCCGUGUGGUGUUAGGUUAAGUCCUGUAACGAGCGCAACCCCUCCCGUUAGUUACAAGUGUCUAACGGGACUGCCCGGCAAAACUGGGAGGAAGGUGGGGAUGACGUCAAGUCAGCAUGGCCCUUAUGUCCUGGGCUACACACACGCUUCAAUGGCCGGUACAAUGGGUUGGCAAGCCGCGAGGCGGAGCCAAUCCUUUAAAGCAGGUUUCAGUUCGGAUUGUAGGCUUCAACCCGCAUGCAUGAAGUUGGAGUUGCUAGUAACCGCAGGUCAGCCACACUGCGGUGAAUACGUUCCCGGGCGUUGUACACACCGCCCGUCACGUCAUGGAAGCUGGUAACCCCUGAAGCCGGUGAGCUAACCGCAAGGAAGCAACCGUCGAAGGUGGGAC
rnacentral:rRNA from 1 species